GCCAGGCACGGUGGCACGUACUUGUAGUCCCAGCUCCUCAGGAGGCUGAGAUGGGAGGAUUGCUUGAGUCGAGGAGUUCUGGGCUGUAGUGCGCUAUGCCAAUCGGGUGUCCACACUAAGUUCGGCAUCAAUAAGGUGACCUCCUGGGAGUCGGGGACCACCAGGUUGCCUAAGGAGGGGUGAACCGGCCCAGGUCGGAAACGGAGCAGGUCAAAACUCCCGUGCUGAUCAGUAGUGGGAUCGUGCCUGUGAAUAGUCACUGCACGCCAGCCUGGGCAACAUAGCAAGACCCCAUCUCU
ensembl:misc_RNA Metazoa_SRP Metazoan signal recognition particle RNA